rnacentral:tRNA from 1 species
CGCGGAGUAGAGCAGUCCGGUAGCUCGUCGGGCUCAUAACCCGGAGGUCGCAGGUUCAAAUCCUGCCUCCGCAACCA